rnacentral:rRNA from 1 species
CACGUAGGCGGAUCUUUAAGUCAGGGGUGAAAUCCUGGAGCUCAACUCCAGAACUGCCUUUGAUACUGGGGAUCUCGAGUCCGGAAGAGGUGAGUGGAACUCCGAGUGUAGAGGUGAAAUUCGUUGAUAUCGACAGGAACGCCGGUGGCGAAAGCGGAUUGCUGGUCCUUUUCUGACGCUGAUGCGCGAAAGCCAGGGGAGCAAACG